rnacentral:rRNA from 1 species
GACGAACCGUGCGAACGUUGUUCGGAAUCACUGGGCUUAAAGGGCGCGUAGGCGGGCUAUCAAGUCUGGGGUGAAAUCCCACGGCUCAACCGUGGAACUGCCUCAGAUACUGACGGCCUCGAGGAAGGUAGGGGCAUGCGGAACUAACGGUGGAGCGGUGAAAUGCGUUGAUAUCGUUAGGAACUCCGGUGGCGAAAGCGGCGUGCUGGACCUUUUCUGACGCUGAGGCUCGAAAGCUAGGGGAGCAAACGGG